rnacentral:rRNA from 1 species
UACGUAGGGUGCAAGCGUUAAUCGGAAUUACUGGGCGUAAAGCGUGCGCAGGCGGCUUUGCAAGACAGAUGUGAAAUCCCCGGGCUCAACCUGGGAACUGCAUUUGUGACUGCAUGGCUGGAGUGCGGCAGAGGGGGAUGAAAUUCCGCGUGUAGCAGUGAAAUGCGUAGAUAUGCGGAGGAACACCGAUGGCGAAGGCAAUCCCCUGGGCCUGCACUGACGCUCAUGCACGAAAGCGUGGGGAGCAAACAGG